GCAUUGGGGGGGCGCGCCUAUACUGGUAAGUCGAACGCUUUGUGGUUCAACUGAUUUGAGGAGCUUGCUCAGAUAUGACGAUGGACAUUGCAAAGAGUGGCGAACGGGUGAGUAACACGUGGGAAACCUACCUCUUAGCAGGGGAUAACAUUUGGAAACAGAUGCUAAUACCGUAUAACAAUGACAACCGCAUGGUUGUUAUUUAAAAGAUGGUUCUGCUAUCACUAAGAGAUGGUCCCGCGGUGCAUUAGCUAGUUGGUAAGGUAAUGGCUUACCAAGGCGAUGAUGCAUAGCCGAGUUGAGAGACUGAUCGGCCACAAUGGGACUGAGACACGGCCCAUACUCCUACGGGAGGCAGCAGUAGGGAAUCUUCCACAAUGGGCGAAAGCCUGAUGGAGCAACGCCGCGUGUGUGAUGAAGGGUUUCGGCUCGUAAAACACUGUUGUAAGAGAAGAAUGACAUUGAGAGUAACUGUUCAAUGUGUGACGGUAUCUUACCAGAAAGGAACGGCUAAAUACGUGCCAGCAGCCGCGGUAAUACGUAUGUUCCAAGCGUUAUCCGGAUUUAUUGGGCGUAAAGCGAGCGCAGACGGUUAUUUAAGUCUGAAGUGAAAGCCCUCAGCUCAACUGAGGAAUUGCUUUGGAAACUGGAUGACUUGAGUGCAGUAGAGGAAAGUGGAACUCCAUGUGUAGCGGUGAAAUGCGUAGAUAUAUGGAAGAACACCAGUGGCGAAGGCGGCUUUCUGGACUGUAACUGACGUUGAGGCUCGAAAGUGUGGGUAGCAAACAGGAUUAGAUACCCUGGUAGUCCACACCGUAAACGAUGAGUGCUAGGUGUUUGAGGGUUUCCGCCCUUAAGUGCCGCAGCUAACGCAUUAAGCACUCCGCCUGGGGAGUACGACCGCAAGGUUGAAACUCAAAGGAAUUGACGGGGACCCGCACAAGCGGUGGAGCAUGUGGUUUAAUUCGAAGCAACGCGAAGAACCUUACCAGGUCUUGACAUCCCUUGACAACUCCAGAGAUGGAGCGUUCCCUUCGGGGACAAGGUGACAGGUGGUGCAUGGUUGUCGUCAGCUCGUGUCGUGAGAUGUUGGGUUAAGUCCCGCAACGAGCGCAACCCUUAUUACUAGUUGCCAGCAUUCAGUUGGGCACUCUAGUGAGACUGCCGGUGACAAACCGGAGGAAGGUGGGGAUGACGUCAAAUCAUCAUGCCCCUUAUGACCUGGGCUACACACGUGCUACAAUGGCGUAUACAACGAGUUGCCAACCCGCGAGGGUGAGCUAAUCUCUUAAAGUACGUCUCAGUUCGGAUUGUAGGCUGCAACUCGCCUACAUGAAGUCGGAAUCGCUAGUAAUCGCGGAUCAGCACGCCGCGGUGAAUACGUUCCCGGGUCUUGUACACACCGCCCGUCACACCAUGAGAGUUUGUAACACCCAAAGCCGGUGGGGUAACCUUCGGGAGCCACCCUUUAAAGGGGGGCCGGUUGU
rnacentral:rRNA from 1 species